CUGAAGAGGCUUGGCUCGCUUCAAGUUCGUCAAUUAUGUUCCAGGCAGGCUGUUCUCUUUAGUUCUGGUUUGUUUCUCUUUGUUUAAAGAAGCUGACCCGCAGACACAACAAUCUUCCUCUCAAGCUUCAGAAAAACACCCAGAAGAUCCAGCAGGAUGGUCUUCCAUCCUGUGACUGGCUGCUGGAAUGAAUCCCACUGCUGCCUAUCUGAUCCCACUAAAAGGCCAACCACUUGACAAUUAAAUGGCACAGAUCACCAGACUGGGCCACAGCAACGCGUGACAGGGGACAGCUAGUGUAUAAAUAAAAAAUAGUCAAAAAAUCAGCGCCAUAGGUCAUUGUGAGUACUGCAAUUAAGUCUUAUCAAGAAAGAAACUAUACAUUUCUUUGACUAGAGUGGCAAAAGGAAAAA